CCUGCCUGAGGGGGCAUCCUUCUUGCCCUGCCCUGUGGCUCAUGGCGGGGGGGCAUCAGCGGAGGUCUGUGGGCCCACCUGGCUGCUGGUCCCAGGCUCCUCCCCAGCAGACAGAACAAGAGAGGGCGGCUGGAGGUGCCCAGCAAACUGCUUCAGGAGAAAGCGUGUGGGAGUGAUGUGUCAGUACAAGCGCCAGAGCCCAGGCUGGAGCCUGGUGGCCUAGGGAGAGCCCUUGGCACACUCACCAACUCUCCUUCCUACAGACGCUGGAUGGGCAGCUGCCAGCACUAGCUCAGCUGAAUGUGGCUCUGACUUGCUUUGGCCAAUGACGUGUGAGCAGAAGAUGGGUCAGGUGGGAGCAUCAAGGGCCGUUCGGUAAAGUUCCGGAGGCUGCUGCCCCAUCAGCCUGCGUCCUGGAAGAGCCCCCGGCCAGCCCGCGAACUGCACCAGUGACCUCCAGCCUUUGACGCCGUGUGGUAUUCUGACUCCUGCUCUGUUCCGCUCCAGCCCAAGGACUUCCCCGGAAGACUGUGUCUGGGAGCCCCUUGCUUUUCUGGGACCCAAGAAGACCUAAGCUGCUGUAACAAAACACCGUGGACUGUGUGACUUACAAACAGCAGGAAUUCAUUUCUCACAGUCUGGAGGCUGGAGGCGCCAGCACGGUCCAGCUUUGAAGAUACCCUCCUGGGAGCAGGGACCUCAUCUGGCUUCUUCGCUGCUGCGUCCCCAGUACCUGACAUACUGCAGGCUUGCCAUAAAGCCUCAUCGUUUCCAUCAGAAGGACCUUGUCCUGCAGCAGAAUAUGCUUCCUGGCAGCCUUGGAGGAAGGAAAGCUGCUUUCUCACGGUGCCCCAAACAAUCCCAGGGAGUCUCGGAUUGGCCUGCUUGGGCUCUGGCGCUGGCUGAACCCCAAAGGGAGAGAAAUCCCACGGUGACACCCCCAUGCUGCUCAGCCAGCCUGCAGUGGGGGAGGCGAGGCGCAGCAGCAGCAAGGGGACCCUCCCACUGAGACUGGGAUCGGAGUUUUCUGCUUCCCCCUGUGGACCUGGCUUGGGCGUCCUGGAGCAGCAUGUGG